CAUGGUGUAGCUCAGUGGUAGAGAACUUGCCUAGCAUGCUUAAGGUCCUGGGUUCCAUCCUUAGUACCAUGA
rnacentral:tRNA from 1 species